GACGAACGCUGGCGGCGUGCUUAACACAUGCAAGUCGAACGGUAAGGCCCUUCGGGGUACACGAGUGGCGAACGGGUGAGUAACACGUGGGUGAUCUGCCCUGCACUUCGGGAUAAGCCUGGGAAACUGGGUCUAAUACCGGAUAGGACCACUGCCUGCAUGGGUGGUGGUGGAAAGCUUUUGCGGUGUGGGAUGGGCCCGCGGCCUAUCAGCUUGUUGGUGGGGGGAUGGCCUACCAAGGCGACGACGGGUAGCCGGCCUGGGAGGGUGACCGGCCACACUGGGACUGAGAUACGGCCCAGACUCCUACGGGAGGCAGCAGUGGGGAAUAUUGCACAAUGGGCGCAAGCCUGAUGCAGCGACGCCGCGUGAGGGAUGACGGCCUUCGGGUUGUAAACCUCUUUCAGCACCGACGAAGCGCAAGUGACGGUAGGUGCAGAAGAAGGACCGGCCAACUACGUGCCAGCCGCCGCAGUAA
rnacentral:rRNA from 1 species